rnacentral:tRNA from 1 species
GUCCAGAGAUGGGAAUCGAACCCACAAUGUUCCGCUUACCGGGCAGAUGCCAUGUCCACUAGGUUACCCUGGA